UACGAAGGGGGCUAGCGUUGCUCGGAAUCACUGGGCGUAAAGCGCACGUAGGCGGAUUGCUAAGUCAGGGGUGAAAUCCUGGAGCUCAACUCCAGAACUGCCUUUGAUACUGGCAACCUUGAGUCCGGGAGAGGUGAGUGGAACUGCGAGUGUAGAGGUGAAAAUUCGUAGAUAUUCGCAAGAACACCAGUGGCGAAAGGCGGCUCACUGGCCCGGUACUGACGCUGAGGUGCGAAAAGCGUGGGGGAGCAAACAGG
rnacentral:rRNA from 1 species